rnacentral:rRNA from 1 species
UAGAGUUUGAUCAUGGCUCAGGAUGAACGCUAGCGACAGGCCUAACACAUGCAAGUCGAGGGGCAUCGGGGCGAGGAGCAAUCCUUGCCGCCGGCGACCGGCGCACGGGUGAGUAACGCGUAUGCGACCUGCCCGUUGCAGGGGGAUAAUCGGGAGAAAUCCCGUCUAAUACCGCGUAAUGCCGCGGGGCUGCAUGGCCCUGCGGCCAAAGGGAGCGAUUCCGGCAACGGAUGGGCAUGCGUGACAUUAGCUAGUUGGCGGGGCAACGGCCCACCAAGGCGACGAUGUCUAGGGGUUCUGAGAGGAAGGUCCCCCACACUGGUACUGAGACACGGACCAGACUCCUACGGGAGGCAGCAGUGAGGAAUAUUGGUCAAUGGGCGCGAGCCUGAACCAGCCAAGUCGCGUGAGGGAUGACGGCCCUACGGGUUGUAAACCUCUUUUGUCGGGGAGCAAAUUCCGCCACGUGUGGCGGAGUCGAGAGUACCCGAAGAAAAAGCAUCGGCUAACUCCGUGCCAGCAGCCGCGGUAAUACGGAGGAUGCGAGCGUUAUCCGGAUUUAUUGGGUUUAAAGGGUGCGUAGGCGGACUGUCAAGUCAGCGGUAAAAUACGGGGGCUCAACCUCCGCCCGCCGUUGAAACUGACGGUCUUGAGUGGGCGAGAAGUAUGCGGAAUGCGUGGUGUAGCGGUGAAAUGCAUAGAUAUCACGCAGAACUCCGAUUGCGAAGGCAGCAUACCGGCGCCCAACUGACGCUGAAGCACGAAAGCGUGGGUAUCGAACAGGAUUAGAUACCCUGGUAGUCCACGCAGUAAACGAUGAAUACUAGCUGUCCGGGGCGAAUGAGCCCUGGGUGGCACAGCGAAAGCGUUAAGUAUUCCACCUGGGGAGUACGCCGGCAACGGUGAAACUCAAAGGAAUUGACGGGGGCCCGCACAAGCGGAGGAACAUGUGGUUUAAUUCGAUGAUACGCGAGGAACCUUACCCGGGCUCAAACGACACAGGAACGUACCUGAAAGGGUUCGGCUCUACGGAGCCUGUGUCGAGGUGCUGCAUGGUUGUCGUCAGCUCGUGCCGUGAGGUGUCGGCUUAAGUGCCAUAACGAGCGCAACCCCCAUCGACAGUUGCUAACAGGUCAGGCUGAGGACUCUGUCGAGACUGCCGGCGCAAGCUGCGAGGAAGGCGGGGAUGACGUCAAAUCAGCACGGCCCUUACGUCCGGGGCGACACACGUGUUACAAUGGCAGGUACAGCGGGAAGCCACCUGGCGACAGGGAGCGGAACCCGAAAGCCUGUCUCAGUUCGGAUUGGAGUCUGCAACCCGACUCCAUGAAGCUGGAUUCGCUAGUAAUCGCGCAUCAGCCACGGCGCGGUGAAUACGUUCCCGGGCCUUGUACACACCGCCCGUCAAGCCAUGGAAGCCGGGAGUGCCUGAAGUGUGCAACCGCAAGGAGCGCCCUAAGGUAAAACUGGUGACUGGGGCUAAGUCGUAACAAGGUAGCCGUAA